AAACUGUGUUGUGGGCAUGAAUUGACAAGAUCCUUGAAAUGCUCCCAACAUUGGACGACUGUUUCAUCUUCCUUUUGAGCGAAAUUCAUGAUUGACUUCCUGAGGGU